CCAAGGAGACAAUGCAAGAUGUUGGUCAGAAUGUGCAGGCGAAGGCUCAAGGAGCUGCUGAUGCAGUCAAGAAUGCCACUGGCAUGAACAAAUGAAGCUGCUCAUGAUGAUCAUUUUCAUGACUUUUAAUGACUUUAUAGAGUUAAGAUGAUGGCAAACUUUCAUUGAGUUUUAUAGACUUUUAUGUAAUUUUUUCUUUCUUUCUUACCCUUCUUUUGAAAGAAUGAAUUGAAAAUUUCAUAGAAUUCUAAAAUGAUGGAAUUUAGAUCUCCAUCAUUUUAAGUUACGACAAUUAAUAUAAUUUCAGUGUUCGGAUUUAUGUAUAUCGAAUUUUACAAUUGAAAUUUCAGGGAAAAACGAAUUCCUUCACUCAAUAGAAAUUAUGAAAUGACUUCUCUUUUGAUUGAAAUUAAACUCAGAAAUCUUGAGUGCUUAACGUUCGUGCCAAAGUAGCCAAACAAUGGAAAUAUUAAAUUCUACUCUUCAAUUCUUAACUUUUAGCUAAAUAAUUAACGUAGGGGAAUAGCAGUAUGUAGUAUGACCACAAGAAAACAGAUUCUAAUAUUAUCUUUUGAUCAUGUUGAAUUAACUCAUGAGAUCUAUAUAACCAAACUAAUUAUUCAUGUAGAGAUUGAAGAAUAUCAAUUAUGAAUUCGUUGGGUUUGAGACUUUUUCAUCUCUGAUUUCUAAAGGUCUCAUUCUGAGCAUGGGUGCCUUAGAGCUUUUUGAAAUAUCCACCAGUUGACCAAAGACAUUAAAAUGCACUCAAGUCAAGAAACAAGACUCCAGAAAUCAGAAAUACAAGAGAACCAAACACACACGAAAAUACAGAAUGUGAAUAACUAAGCACGUGAAAGAAUGUAGCGUGCAUGAAAGAGCUGGUGUAUGCAUUAUUUUUUCCGUAAUAAGUGGUCAUAGAACUAAGCACGUGACAGAAUAUAGCGUGCAUGAUGAUGUAUAAAACUCGUUACACGUAAGAUUUUUUAUGAUUAAAGAUAAAAUGGACACUUGCCCAGAAACUGAAGGAUAAUAUCGUUUUUAACUCAUGUGAGGGAUAACCCAACAAGUUUAUUAGCAUUUACUCAUAAGAUGUUCUGGCCUUUCAAUCAAAUAACAAUAUCUCGUGGAUUGUGGAACAGUCUUCUGAAUUGUAAUUAAUAGAUAAUAUAAUCCAAUAUAAGAAUUCCAUAAUGCUGAAAAAAGUCAUUUUCAUUCACAAAACUGUCUAAGAAACCCUCAGAAUAGCAACUUUUAAGACUCAACAGCCUUCCUGGUCAAAAGGCUCACCCUAAGUAAUUGGGCGACACGUGUUAUGGUCCAAAACCAUGACCAGGAUGAAAUGUGUGCAUGACAUCACACAUGUCGAGCAUUCAGCUGGUCUAAAAUCGUAUAUAAACCAUACCCAAUUGUGAUCAGCAAAUCAAAUUUGAGUUAUAACAACUUCAUCUGAAUUUCAAGUGUUUUCAAGAAAACAAAGUAAGAAGAAAAUGGCUGACAACUCUCAAAAGAUGAGCUACCACGCUGGAGAGGCCAAGGGCCAAGCUCAGGUAAUUAGCUCACCUGUAAAUUGUAAUUUUCCAUUUGUUUUUGCUUCUUUCUUCUGUUUUUUUAUAGAUUAAUGUGGGAUGUUUUGUAUUGGAUAAUUUUGGAUUUAACAGGAGAAGGCCGGUGGGAUGAUGGAUAAGGCUAACAAUGCAGCCCAAUCUACCAAGGAGACAAUGCAAGAUGUUGGUCAAAAUGUGCAGGCGAAGGCUCAAGGGGCUGCUGAUGCAGUCAAGAAUGCCACUGGCAUGAACAAAUGAAGCUGCUCAUGAUGAUCAUUUUCAUGACUUUUAAUGACUUUGUAGAGUUAAGAUGAUGGCAAAAUUUCAUUGAGUUUUAUAGACUUUUAUGUAAUUUUUUUUUUCUUUCUUACCCUUCUUUAGAAAGAAAGAAUUUAAAAUUACAUAGAAUUCCAAAAUGAUGGAAUUUAGAUCUCCAUCAUUUUAAGUUACGGCAAUUAAUAAUUUCAGUAUUUGGAUUUAUGUAUAUCGAAUUUUACAAAUAAAAUUUCACGGAAAAACGAAUUCCUUCACUCAAUAGAAAUUGCGAAAUGACGUCUCUUUUUAUUGAAAUUAAACCCAGAAAUCUUGAGUGCUUGACUUUUGUGCUAAAAUAGCCAAACAGUGAAAGUAUUAAAUUCUACUCUUCAAUUCUUUACUUUUAGCUAAAUAAUUAACGUAGGGUAAUAGCAGUAUGUAGUAUGACCAAAAGAAAACGAAUUCUAAUAUUAUCUUUUGAUCAUGAUGAAUUAACUCUUGAGAUCUAUAUAACCAAAAUAAUUAUUCAUGUAGAGAUUGAUGAAUAUCAAUUAUGAAUUCGUUGGGUUUGAGACAAUUUCAUCUCUUAUUUCUAAAGGUCUCAUUCUCGGCCUGGGUGCCUUAGAGCUUUUUGAAAUAUCCACCAGUUGACCAAACACAUUAAAAUGCACUCAAGUCAAGAAACAAGACUCGUAAAUCAGAAAUACAAGAGAACCAAACACGCACAAAAAUACAUAAUGUGAAUGAACUUGGGGUAAUUAUCAAGUAGAAAAUUUUAUAUAAAGCCGGUGUAUGCCUUAUUUUCCUCGUAAUAAGUGUUCACAUAACUAAGCACGUGAAAGAAUGUAGCGUGCAUGAAAGAGUUGGUAUAUGCAUUAUUUUUCUCGUAAUAAGUGGUCACAUAACUAAGCACGUAAAAGAACAUAGCGUGCAUGAUAAUGUAUAAAACUCAUUACACGUAAGAUUUUUUGUGGUUAAAGAUAAAACACUUGUCCAGAAACUUUGGGACAAUAUCGCUUUUAACUCAUGUGGAGGUUAACCCAACAAGUUUAUUAGCAUUUACUCAUUAAUUAGAUGUUCUGGCCUUUCAAUCAAAUAAUAAUAUCUUGUGGCUUAUGGAACAAUCUUGUGAAUUGUAAUUAAUUGAUAAUAUAAUCCAAUAUUACAAUAAUUCCAUAAUGCUGAAAAAAGUAAUUUCCAUUCAAAAAACUGUCUAAGAAACCCUCAGAAUAGCAACUUGGAAGACUCAACAGCCUUCCUGGUCAGAAGGCUCACCCUAAGUUAUAGGGCGACACGUUUUAUGGUCCAAAACCAUGACCUGGAUGAAAUGUGUGCCUGGCAUCACACAUGUCGAGCAUUCAGCUGGUCUAAAAUCGUAUAUAAACCAUACCCAAUUGUGAGAUAUUCAUCAUUAGCAAACCAAAUUUGAGGUAUAAAAACAUCAUCUGAAUUUCAAGUGUUUUCAAGAAAACAAAGCAAGAAGAAAAUGGCUGACAACUCUCAGAAGAUGAGCUACCACGCUGGUGAGGCCAAGGGCCAAGCUCAGGUAAUUAGCUCAUGUGUAAUUCUCCAUUUGUUUUUACUUAUUUCUUCUACUUUCUUUUAAAUAUUACAUUAUUAUAUGUGAAUGUGCAUUGAGAUUGAUGUGGGGUGUUUUGUAUUGGAUACUUUUGGAUUUAACAGGAGAAGGCUAGUGGGAUGAUGGAUAAAGCUAACAAUGCAGCCCAAUCUACCAAGGAGACAAUGCAAGAUGUUGGUCAGAAUGUGCAUGCGAAGGCUCAAGGAGCUGCUGAUGCAGUCAAGAAUGCAACUGGCAUGAACAAAUGAAGCUGCUCAUGAUGAUCAUUUUCAUGACUUUUAAUGACUUUAUAGAGUUAAGAUGAUGACAAACUUUGUUUGAGUUUUAUAGACUUUUAUGUAAUUUUUUUUUCUUUCUUACUCUUCUUUUGAACGAAGGAACUGAAAAUUGCAUAGAAUUCUAAAAUGAUUGAAUUUAGAUCCCCAUCGUUUUCAUUUAUGGUAAUUAAUAAUUUUAGUAUUCGGAUUUAUGUAUGUUAAAUUUUGUAAAUGACAUAAAUUUUAGGGGAAAACGAAUUCUAAUAUCUUUUGAUCACGAUGAAUUAACUCAUGAGAUCUAUAUAACCAAAAUAAUUAUUCAUGUAGAGAUUGAUGAAUAAUAUCAAUUACGACUCUUGAGAUUGGGGCCCAAUUCGUUGGGUUUGAGACUUUUUCAUCUUUUAUUUCUAAAGACAUCGUUUUGGGCUUGGGUGCCUUAGUGCUUUUUGAAAUAUCCACAAGUUUACUAAACACAUUAAUGACAUGUUUAUUAAUCCGUAAUUAGAUUAGGAGCAAUUGAAUUGAUGAUGAAUUGAAUUGGGAAGGAGUUAGAUUGAGGAGAAUUAGAUUUCGGAUUCCUAUUGAAGUUCUUUACUAAACCGUAUGGAUUGAGGAGAAUUAAAUUCCGGAUUUCUAUUGAAGUUGUUUACUAAAUCAUAUGGAAUUGAGGUAAUAGUGGUACUAAUUACUAAAAUGACCUCGUUGUUUGGUUAAAGUAGAUGGCAAAUUUGAAAUUUUGAAAAUUGAGGAUAUAAUGGGUAACAAAGAUGAAUUCCUAAUAGAUUAGUUCUCCAGGAAUUAGAAUACCACUUCCCACCGAAGAAUUGAGUUUCUCCAAAAUUAGGAAUUCAAUUCCUAAUUUUAUAUGGCCCCACUUACUUUUUAAUUCUUUGAUGUGAAAUAAACACAGGAAUUCUCCAUAGGUGGAAUUCAAUUCUUGAUUAGUAAAAACACAAUAAAAUGCACUCAGGUCAAGAAACAGAACUCCGAAAAUCAGAGAUACAAGAGAACCAAACCAACACAAAAAUACAAAAUGUGAAUGAACUUGGGGAAACUAUCAAAUAGAAAAUUUUAUAUAGAGCUGGUGUAUGCAUUAUUUUUCUCGUAAUAAGUAUUCACAUAACCAAGCACGUGAAAGAAUGUAACGUGCAUGAAAGAGUUGGUGUAUGCAUUAUUUUUCUCGUAGUAAGUGGUCAAAUAACUAAGCACUUAAAAGAAUAUAGCGUGCAUGAUAAUGUAUAAAACUCAUUACAAGUAAGAUUUUUUGCGGUUAAAAGUAAAAUGCAUACUUGUCCAUAAACUUAGGGACAAUAUCGCUUUUAACUCAUGUGGAGGAUAACCCAACAAGUUUAUUAGCAUUUACUCAUAAGAUGUUUUGGUCUUUCUAUCAAAUAACAAUAUCUUGUGAGUCUUGCGAAUUAUAAUUAAUUGAUAAUGUAUUUUUAGGCGUAGUAAUUAAGGAAAUAUAAUCCAAUAUUAUAAGAAUUCCAUAAUACUGAAAAAAGUAAUUUCCAUAUUCAAAACUGUCUGAACCCUAAGAAUAGCAACUGUAGAUGAAGAUAAGACUCAACAGCCUUGUCCUGGUCCGAAAGGCUCAUCCCAAGUUAUAAGGCGACACGUGUUAUGGUCCAAAGCCAUGAAAUGUGUGAAUAGCUUCCGCAUGGCAUCACACGUGUCGAGCAUUCAGCUGGUUGAAAAUUCUAUAUAAACCCUACCCAAAUGUGAAAUAUUCAUCAUCAGCAAAUCAAAUUCGUGUUAUAAAAACUACAUCUGAAUUUCAAGUGCUUUCCUCCAGUUUCCAAGAAAACAAAGCAAGAAAAAAAUGGCUUCCAACUCUGAGAAGGUGAGCUACCACGCUGGUGAGGCCAAGGGCCAAGCUCAGGUAAUUUUCUUCACCUAUUAUUCUCCAUUUGUUCCUGCAUUUUUUGUUGUUGAAUAUUACAUAAUUUAUGCUGAAUGUGCAUUGAGAUUGAUGUAAUUUUUCAUUUAACAGGAGAAGGCGAGUGGGGUGAUGGAUAUGGCAAACAAUGCAGCCCAAUCUGCCAAGGAAACAAUGCAAGCGGCAGGCCAGAAUGUGCAGGCCACGGCUAUAGGAGCUGCUGAUGCAGUCAAGAAUGCCACUGGCAUGAACAAAAAAUGAAGCUAGCUGCUCAUCAUGAUCUCAAUAUGAGCAUUUGCAGUUUUUUUUUCUUUUUUUUGGGAGCUUUCUAGUAGUUGCUUUUGAUUUCUGUCUUCUAAACAAGGGAGCUCUAAGUCCUCUGGAGUUCUCAUCAUCUGGGUGUGUACUUUCGUUCACACUUGGUUUUAGUUUUUGUUUUCUUUUUCUUUUUGUUCAUGUUUAUCUCCUUUGAACAAGGAAAGUGGGCUCUGCCUAUUGUAGUUCUCACCUAAUUGAAUCAUAUGCUGUUUUUAAUCCCAUCUAUAUGUUCAAGAUUGGUCCUUUGUUUAUGCAGAUGAGCAAAAUCCGACCUAAGAGUUUCUGAAAAUAAAAAACAUAAAAAAAAGAAGAUAUAAAUUAAUUAAGCAAGUGCGACAACUCAUAAUUAAGAGAAGCUACUUUUGCAUCUGAUAGAAUUUUAUUGAUAAUGCGGGAUGAAAAUAAGUAAAAAAAUUAAGCUAUGUCUAAAUAAUUAGGUGAGCAUCUCUACACAUAAUGACGUAGUGGUCGUCGAACUAUCUAGAUAGUCUAUCUUCUCAACCUUCUCUCGUCGGACUACCUAUAGAUAGCCUCUCGUCGGACUACCUAGGUAGCCUACCUUCUCAACCUUCUCAACUACAAACGAAAAAAAUAAAAACCUUGCCACCGUUAGAGCGGCCCCAUCUCUCUAAGAUUAGCUACUUAACUAUAGAACAAUAUCGUGACUAUGUAGCUAAGUAGCUUUCCCACAUCAAAGAAAUUUCUGUGACCUUCUUCCGUGAAAUUAAAGUACCAUAAUUUGUUGAAAAUUAAAGCACUUUUGUCGAGAAAUAUCUAGAAAAAUCUAGAUAAGAUCACCGACCAAGCUAAAGUCUACAUAUGCCAGAACUGUCAUAUGAAAUAUCCAAUAUGGUACUAUUAGAUUGAUAAUACGAUAAAAACUAGUGGAGACCACAAAGUUGUGGUUAGGAAUGUAGCAGCAGCUCGGCUGAAAAUGUGUGGUUAGGAACAAAACAAGCCCAAGUGGGUGGAGCUUCAGCAUGUCGGCUGCUGUCAUCUGUAAAUGAAUUUGGUAUGUUUAUUUUAAAAUAAAUUAAUCCAUAAUUACAUUAAAUUACCUUUAUUAGUGGGAGUUAAAUUUCCAUUAAUAUGACUCAACUGCUUUAUGCUUGUGUCCAUUAACGUCUUUCUUGGUGGUAUACUAUGUGUAUAUGUUAGUUAUAGCUUGAAAAAGAAAAAGAGAGAAGCCACAGCCUUCUUCCUCUUAUGAUAAAAUUUGGGUUACUAACAAUACAUUUACAUUAAUUACUCUCUCUUGUAGAAAUGUGAUAUUAAUUUAUUGAUUGCAAUCAUUAAUAAAAUUUAGAGGAUUGACGGUAAUGACAAUAUGUAUAAAUGUUUUAAAAACAGUGGCCAAGGUUUUGUGUACUUGGUAGGCUUGUUAAGUUGCUGGACCCAAUUCUACAUCAAAAGAGAGGUGGAGUGCAUUUAUAGUGCAAACUCAAAAUUGGACCUAUAUCAAAAGACUCAUUCUUUUAAUUUAUGUAUUGAGAUUUCUAAGCAACAUAGUUAGAAAGGUGUUUGUUACCUUUUCUAAACUGCUUGCAUAAAUUGGGCGUAGAGCCGCGAAACGUCUGAAAGAGAACGACUUCGUACGUGACUCAUCCCAAGAAUCGUUCCAAACUACAUACUAAAUUUUUCGUGUAAUAUUGUUCUCUUAUUUUAAUUUGUUCAUCAACAAUUUAAAGACCUUUUCAUCUGCCAUUGAUGUGAAUAAUAAGGCUUAUAGAUUCUAUGACCAAAAGAACCAUGUUGUACUUGAAUCUAAAUGAUGUUUAAAAAAAAAGAAGAUAAAUUCUCAUAUAAAUUGAGAAAUUGUGGGGACUCAAGUUCUAGUAAUACAUCUUUCCCAUAAAUCAUGAACCUAGAUGUAUAGAACAUUUUUAACCAACUUAGAACCAAGGAAGAGUAAGAAAACGAAUUGCCAAGGAUUUUGGACCUAAUUUUCAUGUUCAUACCUUAGAGCAAGGAUUUUGGACCUAACUUUCACACUUGGUUUUUGUUUUUGUUCAUGUUAUCUCCUUUGAACAAGGAAAGUGGGCUCUGCCUAUUGUAGUUCUCACCUAAUUGAAGCAUAAUCUUUUUUCAUGUGCUGGUGUUAGAAUUAUCUUCAUCCUUUACUUCGAUUUAAUCCCAUCUAUAUAUUCAACUAGACAACGAUAGAAUCGUGACUGAAAAACUGCCGCUGAUGCCUUGCAAGAGACGAUGGUCACGUAUACGACGAUUAUGUGUCACAUAAGAGGACUGCACUGUGUCUAGAAAAAUCUAGAUAAGAUACCGACCAAGCUAAAGUCUACAUAUGCCAGAACAGUCAUAUAAAGUAUCUCGGCUGAAAAUAUGUGGUUAGGAACAAACAAGCCCAAGUGGGUGGAGCUUGGGCAUGUCGGCUGCUGUCAUUUGUAAAUGAAUUUGGUAUGUUUAUUUUAAAAUAAAUUAAUCAAUAAUUACAUUAAAUUACCUUUAUUAGUGGGAGUUAAAUUUCCAUUAAUAUGACUCAACUGCUUUAUGCUGGUUUUAAGUCUAUUAACGUCUUUCUUGGUGGUAUAUUAUGUAUAUAUAUAUUAUUAGCUAUAGCUUGAAAAAGAAAAGAGAUAGAAAAGCCACAGCCUUCUUCCUCUUCAUCCCUAUGAAUUCUCUCCUUCUUUUACUUUAUGUAUUGAGAUUUCUAAGCAACAUAGUCAAAAAGGUAUUUGUUAUCUUUUCUAAACUAUUUACACAAAUUGGCGCAAAGUCGUGAAACGUCUUAAAGAGAUCGACGUAAUACGCAACUCAUCCUAAGAAUCGUUCCAAGCUCCAUAUUGUAUUUUUCGUAUAAUAUUGUUCUCUUAUUUUAAUUUGUGCAUCAACAAUUUUAAGAGGUUUUUAUUUGCCAUGGAUGUUAAUAAUAAGGCUUAUAGAUUCUCUGACUUAAAGAACCAUGUUGUAAUUGAAUCUAAUGAUACUGUUUAAAAAAAGAAGAAGAUAAAUUCUCAUUUAAAUUAAGAAAUUGUGGGGACUCAAGUUCUAGUAAUACAUCUUUCCCAUAAAUAAUGAACCUAGAGGUAUAGAACAUUUUUAACCAACUUGGAACCAAGGAAGACUAAGAAAGAACGAAUUAAUUGCCAAGGAUUUGGACCUAAUUUUCAUGUUUAUACCUUAGAGUAGGAUCCCACCACUCUCCAAUCACAUAUAUAUAUAUACAUAUAUAUAUUUUAUAUUCAGAUUUAUUUCGUUAAUUUUUUUUAAUCUUUCAUAUUAUUUACUUAUGGUUUUACAAGAUUUUAUUGUUUUGUAGUUUCGCUAAUAUGCUGCUCCGGUGCUUCCAUUACAAUUUUUUUUUAGAGAACUUCUCCAUCACAUCUGUAAAUGUACAAUCAUACAAUAUUUCAGUGAGUUUUAAUUAGCAUGUGCCUUCUUUAUGUUGUCGGCCACCUAUAUUGGAUACACAUUCAUAUAGAAAAAGUCACCUAUAUUGUCUAAUUUACUGUCAGCUCUGCAUCACUCAAUAAAAAUUAUGUGCAGGUGGGAUCUCUGAGAUCUGGUAUUUAUCAAGAGUUAGAUUCAAUUAUACAAAAGAUCAUUUCUAUUACUCUCUUUUCCAUCAAUAUUUUCUCAACCCAAAAAUUCCAACCAUCACUAGUAAUGUAUGAAUAUGUCAACAUUAAUCAAAUAAUUAAUAACACGUAAACAUCCAAUAUCAAAAACAUUAUAAUAUCAAGCUAUAAUAUAAUAUUCACGAAAUUUAAUUCAAUCAAUUCUUGUAAAGGCCCUAAAAAAUCCAUACCUCAAUUCCAAAGCUAGCUCAAAAUUUAAGAAAACACAAACUAGGCCUAUAUCUCCUCCAAGAAUUUGAUCAUCUCUCUCUUUCUCUCUUUUACUUCCUCUCUCAUUUCUUUUUUGUUUCUUACUCUUAUUUCAAUUCUAGAAGGCCCUAUUUAUACUAGCAUAAGUCGGCAACAACAAAGAUCUCAUUGGAUAAUUGUUUGGCAGCUAAGAAAUGAGAUAUGCAUGGAAGCUAUCUUUAUAUAAUAUAAACUAAUAUUAAUCCUAUCACAAAAGUAGAUAAAGUAACUAGAAGAUUGACACAUCAACCCUAAGAGAUAAAUUAUACCUGCAUCUGCUCCAGCUCAAGGUAAACAAUGGCAUGAAAUUGACGCCAACUCCCAUCUAAAGCUACCUCUUGCUAAUCAAAGGAUAAUUCUAACACCUCAUCCUUACUAACUCCAGCUCAUGUUAAUUUUCACAUGUAGUUGAAUGUAUCCAUUUCACUAUAAAGACUAAUGCCACGUUUUCAAGUUAAAAUAAUUAUAAUUAUAAGACAGGAAGAGAUCGAUAUAUAUAAUAGAAAACUAUUUAAUCUUCAAUAUAUAUAUAUAUAUAUUUUUUUAAAUACGGGUCUUCACAGAAACUACAUUGGAUGAAGUGUAAAUUAAUUGUGAAACCUUUUUGAAGAAGACUCAAAUAAAAUGAUAAAUUAUAUAACUAUAAGUGGCAUUUAAUUUUGAAUUUUGGUGUAAGGGUUUCGACCCUUAAAUCCUUUGAAGCAUGAUUAACCCAUCAGGUGAUAUGAUUUCAUCAGUCCCAAUAUCUUGGACCACAGGAGUCUAAGAUAUUGUGGUCAUCUACUGUUGGAUAUUAAUCUAAUAGUUCAAAAAAGUUUCUUAAAAUGAGUGCAAGAGUGAGUGAACCGUUGAAUUUCCAUCUAACGGUGAGUGACCACAAAUCUCUUGAACCCAUGUAGUCCAAGAGAUCGGGACUGAUGAUUUCAUUAUUAUAUUUGUUAUGGUUAUCAAGAUGAGUUUUGAUUGGGCAUAUCCUAUGAAAUUUAAAAAUACUUUGUGAGUACCGUUUUAAUAUACUUCAUGACUUUUCUUAUUUUGUAAAGGUUGAGAAUUUCCUUAACUAGCCGGGGUUGAGAAUUCGGGGGUUAUUGCUUUAAGAUCCCUUUACUUUGCCACUUCAGAAACCCAAAUGGAGACUGUUAAGUUUAAUCUGACAUACUUGAAAAUGUGGAGGUUCGUUAUGUUCAUUUAAUGACCUAUCUAAUUAAUAAGUGACUACUUUAUUUUGGCAAAUACGCCAAUAUAUCUUAAUAGUAGAUUUUGCUUAUAUCAUACAACAUUAUUUUGAUAUGAAAGUGAGUGUGACUAGUGACAUUCUUGGUAUUAACAGGUUUCUUUGAGGAUUGAGAAGAUACAAUGACGAUUUGGAUAUGCCAUGUAGCCACUUGAAGCGCACAAUAAAGGAAGCUUCAGCAGGUGCACUCAAAGAAUUGAUAUAUUUUAAUGAAUACCGAUAUUUGGGAGGUAUAUAUAUAUAUUUUUGAUUAUAUAUAUGAAUUGAUAUAUAUCGGAUUUCUGUUAUACUUUAAUGUAUAGUGAUGCACAUGUGAUCUCCAAUGGUAUUGAGAUGAAAUUUACUGAUCAUUUGUCUGCAAUGUUCUAGCAAAUAUUUCUGAUGGACGUGCAAGUUUACAAGUGGAUCUAGUUUGGAGCAUUGGUAUGCUAUUGAGGGUCAUGCGGUACCUUAAAAAGACGAUGAACCUUGAAUUACACUAUUAGAAGUUUGCUGUUAUCCUAGAAGGAUAUAGCAAUGCUCAUUGGAAUACCCUGUCAGAAGAUUCAAGGGCUACUGGAAGUCUUAGAAACAUACUAUUCUAGCUCAGUCAACAAUGGAUUCAGAGAUGAUAGCUCUAGCAAUGGAUAGUGACAGCAAGUUGGUUGAGAAACUUACUGACAGAUACCCUCUUGUGGGAGAGAUCGAUACCAGUUGUUCUUAUCCACUGUAAUAUAGUGGAUUACGAUGUAAUGAGAAUUUAGCUGAUCCUUUGACGAAAAGACUACCAUGAGAAAAGGUUUGGAAAACCUCAAAAGGAAUGGACUAAAACCCAGGAAAGUUAAGUCACUUGUGAUGGUAACCCAACCUACAAACUGGAAAUCCCAAGAAAAAGGUUCAAUGGGUAAUAACAAGUCAUGUAGUGAUACAAGGUUGAGUUUAACUCUUAAUGAGAUCUAUACUACAUAUUAAGUGGGAUAUCUAGCUACAUAUCCUUGAUGAUCCCCUAUGUGAAUGUGGACGUGAGGCCGCUUUCUAUGAAAAUUUGAGGGAGAUUUUUAAAAGGAUUCACUAUACCGGGAUAUAAGCAUAUGGCCGUAACGUGCUUGCCUUUGAACUUCACCAUAGUAGGGCUGUGUGGUGUUGUUAGAGAAAGAGUUUAGAACUAUACGUUACUCUUGUA
rnacentral:lncRNA from 1 species